rnacentral:rRNA from 1 species
CCUACGGGGUGCAGCAGUGGGGAAUAUUGCACAAUGGGGGAAACCCUGAUGCAGCGACGCCGCGUGAGCGAUGAAGUAUUUCGGUAUGUAAAGCUCUAUCAGCAGGGAAGAAAAUGACGGUACCUGACUAAGAAGCCCCGGCUAACUACGUGACAGCAGCCGCGGUAAUACGUAGGGGGCAAGCGUUAUCCGGAUUUACUGGGUGUAAAGGGAGCGUAGACGGCUGUGCAAGCCAGAUGUGAAAGCCCGGGGCUCAACCCCGGGACUGCAUUUGGAACUGUGUGGCGUGAGUGUCGGAGAGGCAGGCGGAAUGCCUGGUGUAGCGGUGAAAUGCGUAGAUAUUAGGAGGAACACCAGUGGCGAAGGCAGCCUGCUGGACGAUGACUGACGUUGAGGCUCGAAAGCGUGGGGAGCAAACAGGAUUAGAUACCCCUGUAGUC